GUACCCUCAAGCUUUGCUUGGUGUUGGGUGUUUUGUCCUUUCCCUGCGUCAGGACUCGCCUUAAAUUCAUUGGCAGCCUAUGUACUGGUUUGAAGCGCAGCACAAUUUGCGAUUCAGGCGGUUACCAUGGGCGUCCAGUAAGCACAAGUUAACAC
rnacentral:misc_RNA from 1 species